rnacentral:rRNA from 1 species
ACAUGCAAGUCGAACGGCAGCACGGGAGCGCUCCGGGUGGCGAGUGGCGGAGGGGUGAGUAAAGUAUCGCAACGCGCCAUUGAGUGGGGGAUAACGUAUAGAAAAUUACGCUAAUACCGCAUAUACCCUGAGGGGGAAAGCAGGGGAUCGCAAGACCUUGCGCUCUUUGAGUGGCGCGAUAUCAGAUUUUAUAUUUGGUGAGGUAAAGGCUCACCAAGGCGACAAUCUGCCAGCGGGUCUGAGAGGAUGAUCCGCCACACUGGAACUGAGACACGGUCCACACUCCUACACGAGGGGGGAGAGGGGAAUUUUGGACAAUGGGGGCAACCCUGAUACAGCCAUGCCGCGUGAGUGAAGAAGGCGUUCAGAUUGUAUAGCUCUUUC